rnacentral:rRNA from 1 species
GUCUUAGCUUGCUAAGACUGAUGGCGACCGGCGCACGGGUGCGUAACGCGUAUACAACUUGCCUCACAGAGGGGGAUAACCCGUCGAAAGACGGACUAAUACCGCGUACACUUGGGAUAGGGCAUCCUGACCCAAGGAAAUGAAAUUCGCUGUGAGAUAGGCAUGCGUCCCAUUAGCUAGUUGGUGAGGUAACGGCUCACCAAGGCGACGAUGGGUAGGGGAACUGAGAGGUUGAACCCCCACACUGGUACUGAGACACGGACCAGACUCCUACGGGAGGCAGCAGUGAGGAAUAUUGGUCAAUGGGCGAGAGCCUGAACCAGCCAAGUCGCGUGAAGGAUGACUGUCUUAUGGAUUGUAAACUUCUUUUAUACGGGAAUAACAAGAGUCACGUGUGGCUCCCUGCAUGUACCGUAUGAAUAAGCAUCGGCUAACUCCGUGCCAGCAGCCGCGGUAAUACGGAGGAUGCGAGCGUUAUCCGGAUUUAUUGGGUUUAAAGGGUGCGUAGGCGGCCUGUUAAGUCAGCGGUGAAAUCUAGGAGCUUAACUCCUAAAUUGCCAUUGAUACUGGCGGGCUUGAGUGUAGAUGAGGUAGGCGGAAUGCGUGGUGUAGCGGUGGAAUGCAUAGAUAUCACGCAGAACUCCGAUUGCGAAGGCAGCUUACUAAGGUACAACUGACGCUGAAGCACGAAAGCGUGGGUAUCAAACAGGAUUAGAUACCCUGGUAGUCCACGCAGUAAACGAUGAUAACUGGGCGUAUGCGAUAUACAGUAUGCUCCUAAGCGAAAGCGUUAAGUUAUCCACCUGGGGAGUACGCCGGCA